rnacentral:rRNA from 1 species
CCUACGGGAGGCAGCAGUGAGGAAUAUUGGUCAAUGGGCGCGAGCCUGAACCAGCCAAGUAGCGUGAAGGAUGACUGCCCUACGGGUUGUAAACUUCUUUUAUAAAGGAAUAAAGUGAGGCACGUGUGCCUUUUUGUAUGUACUUUAUGAAUAAGGAUCGGCUAACUCCGUGCCAGCAGCCGCGGUAAUACGGAGGUGGCAAGCGUUAUCCGGAUUUACUGGGUUUAAAGGGCGUGUAGGCGGGGAAGCAAGUCAGAUGUGAAAACCACGGGCUCAACCUGUGGCCUGCAUUUGAAACUGGUUGUCUGGAGUACUGGAGAGGUAGACGGAAUUCCUGGUGUAGCGGUGAAAUGCGUAGAUAUUAGGAAGAACACCGGUUGCGAAGGCAGUCUGCUGGACAGCAACUGACGCUGAGGCGCGAAAGCGUGGGUAGCAAACAGGAUUAGAUACCCCAGUAGUC